GAUGAACGCUGGCGGCGUGCCUAAUACAUGCAAGUCGAGCGAACAGACGAGGAGCUUGCUCCUUCGACGUUAGCGGCGGACGGGUGAGUAACACGUAGGUAACCUACCUAUAAGACUGGGAUAACUUCGGGAAACCGGAGCUAAUACCGGAUAAUAUUUCGAACCGCAUGGUUCGAUAGUGAAAGAUGGCUUUGCUAUCACUUAUAGAUGGACCUGCGCCGUAUUAGCUAGUUGGUAAGGUAACGGCUUACCAAGGCAACGAUACGUAGCCGACCUGAGAGGGUGGUCGGCCACACGGGAACUGGGACACGGUCCAGACUCCUACGGGAGGCAGCAGUAGGGAAUCUUCCGCAAUGGGCGAAAGCCUGACGGAGCAACGCCGCGUGAGUGAUGAAGGUCUUCGGAUCGUAAAACUCUGUUAUUAGGGAAGAACAAACGUGUAAGUAACUGUGCACGUCCUGACGGUACCUAAUCAGAAAGCCACGGCUAACUACGUG
rnacentral:rRNA from 1 species